UACGUAGGGGGCAAGCGUUAUUCGGAUUUACUGGGUGUAAAGGGAGCGUAGACGGAAUGGCAAGUCUGAAGUGAAAUCCCCGGGCUUAACCCGGGAACUGCUUUGGAAACUGUUAGUCUGGAGUGUCGGAGAGGUAAGCGGAAUUCCUGGUGUAGUAGUGAAAUGCGUAGAUAUCAGGAAGAACACCGGAGGCGAAGGCGGCUUACUGGACUGUAACUGACGUUGAGGCUCGAAGGCGUGGGGAGCAAAC
rnacentral:rRNA from 1 species